rnacentral:rRNA from 1 species
CUACGGGCGGCACCAGUCAAGAAUAUUCCUCAAUGGACGCAAGUCUGAAGGAGCGACGCCGCGUGAUCGAUGAAGUCUUUAGGGAUGUAAAGAUCUUUUCUGAAGGAAGAACUUUUGACGGUACUUCAGGAAUAAGGGGUUGCUAACUCUGUGCCAGCAGCAGCGGUAAUACAGAGACCCCGAGCGUUAUCCGGAUUUAUUGGGCGUAAAGCGUGCGCAGACGGCUUUGUAAGUCCGCGGUCAAAUCUAAAAGCUUAACUUUUAGACUGCCGUGGGAACUGAACAGCUAGAGGGUGGAAGAGGUCAACGGAAUUGCCGGUGUAACGGUAGAAUGUGUUAAUAUCGGCAAGAACACCAGAUGCGAAGGCGGUUGACUGGUACACUCCUGACGUUGUUGCACGAAAGCGUGGGUAGCGAAUAGGAUUAGAUACCCCCGUAGUC